GCUCCCAUCGUCUAGCGGUCAGGACGCCGCCCUCUCAAGGCGGAAACCGGGGUUCAAUUCCCCGUGGGAGCGCCA
rnacentral:tRNA from 1 species